rnacentral:rRNA from 1 species
AUGAUAAGUCAUUUGCCUGACCCGUCCACUCUAAUCUCUAUAUUUUAAGCUCUGACCUCAAAUCAGGUAGGACUACCCGCUGAACUUAAGCAUAUCAAUAAGCGGAGGAAAAGAAACUAACAAGGAUUCCCUUAGUAGCGGCGAGCGAAGCGGGAUGAGCUCAAAUUUGAAAUCUGGCGUCUUUCAGGCGUCCGAGUUGUAAUCUAUAGAAGCGUUUUCUGUGCUGGACCGUGUCCAAGUCCCUUGGAACAGGGUAUCAAAGAGGGUGACAAUCCCGUACUUGACACGACCACCAGUGCUCUGUGAUACGUUUUCUACGAGUCGAGUUGUUUGGGAAUGCAGCUCAAAAUGGGUGGUAAAUUCCAUCUAAAGCUAAAUAUUGGCGAGAGACCGAUAGCGAACAAGUACCGUGAGGGAAAGAUGAAAAGCACUUUGGAAAGAGAGUUAAACAGUACGUGAAAUUGUUGAAAGGGAAACGAUUGAAGUCAGUCGUGUCUAUUGGUUUCAGCCGGUCCUGCCGGUGUAUUACCUUUAGACGGGUCAACAUCAGUUUUGGACGGUGGAUAAUAGCAGUUUGAAUGUGGCACCUCCGGGUGUGUUAUAGCUUUCUGUUGCAUACACUGUCUGAGACUGAGGACUGCAGCUCGCCGCAAGGCCGGGGUUUCGACCCACGUUACGAGCUUAGGAUGUUGACAUAAUGGCUUUAAACGACCCGUCU